rnacentral:lncRNA from 1 species
CCUCAAAGCACCCUGUGAGAAGGCUGGGAUGGGCUACGCCCCGGAGGGCCUCAGAAGAAACAUUAUUCCUCUCCACCCCCAGCCUCCAUGGAGGAACUGAGAGGGCCACUGGUGGAGAAGCUGGUGGCUCAUACAUUCCAGGCUGUGCUAGCGGUUCGGCCAGUGACACUCCAAGGUUUCUUGUGAGGAACCACUCUGGCUCUUUCAAGAAUGGGGAGUUCUUGAAUUCUCUCCCGCUUUCCAGGGAGCUCUCAGCCACAGUGAUUGCUCAGCACCCCUACCCCUGCCCUCCACCCAGCUCCCAGGAAGGUGUGUCAACAUGCCCGAGUGCUGUGAACGUUAUGAGAGGGCCUUGUUGGGAACACGUGCUCCUGGGAAUCAGCCCUUCCCUCUGUCCUGUUCCCACUCCUCCCCGACGAUGCUCCUGCUCAGAACCCACUCCUCACCUCAGUGAAGCAACGCAGCGGGCACCCUGUGGACAAAGCUGGAUAUUGGCUCUGAAUAAAAGCGAAUCAUGGGGAAAAUCAGUGUCUCAGUAAAAUGGGGUUUUCUUAGUAGAGACCAGACUGUGAAGGACCUUGCUUCAUUCCAUCUUUGAGGAGGAUGAUGAUUCAGGGACAUUGGCCCAAGAUCAAAGUGGUAUUUUUAGGUUGUAUUUACUUAGCUAUUUGCCGUCUACCUCCUUAUUUCCAGGUAGCAACUUCCUUCUUAUAUCUGAGAUGUUUAAGAGAUGAUGAAACCAGCUUGCACACACUUCUCAAAGUGUGUUUGUUCGCAUCCAUUAUUUCACUGGGGACCGGCUAUUAUCCUCUCCAUUUUCUUUAUAAGGAUAUUGAAAGAGAGAUUAAAUAACUUGUUCAAGGCCGCAUAGCUAGUUAACAGCUGAACUAGGCUUAAAACCAACGUCUGAAGGCUCCUAUUCCAGUGGCAGCUGCUGUGUGCUUCUUCUGUUUUCCAUCAGUUUGGAAGGGAGCAUAAAGUCUACAGCCACAUGGGUGGGGUCAGCAGAAAGAUUGACCACCAAGCCUGAGGCAGGUGAGGCUGAUCUCCUGGGCACAGCCUCUCUGCACAGGAGUUCACAGAAGUGAUAUGAUCCAAAGUUGCUGAGGGAAAAGCCCUUAUUUGUGGAAUUAACGGCAGGUCUCUCUUGAGGUCAGAAUGAAUGUUAUUGACAUUAUUGUUUGUAUUGUGGUAAGGUAUACAUAAUGGAAAAUGUACCAUUUUGGCUGGACAUGGUGGCUCACGCCUGUAAUCCCAGCACUUUGGGAGGCCAAGGUGGGCGCAUCACCUGAGGUCAGGAGUUCGAGACCAGCCUGCCAACAUGGUGAAACCUCAUCUCUACUAAAAAUACAAAAAUUAGCCGGGCGUGGUGGUGGGUGCCUGUAGUCCCAGCUACUUGGGAGACUGAGGCAGGAGAAUCACCUGAACCCAGGAAGCAGAAGUUGCAGGGAGCCGAGAUGGCCCCACUACACCCCAGCCUGGGUGACAGAGCGAGACUCCGUCUCAGUAAAUAAAUAAAUAAAUAAAAAUAAUAAAAUAAAAUGUACCAUUUUAACCAUU